rnacentral:rRNA from 1 species
ACUGGCGAAGUGGCAAAUACCAAGCUUCCAGGAAAAGCUUCUAAACUUAAGUCAUAAACGAAUCGUACCCUAAACCGACACAGGUGAUCAGGUAGAGAAUACCAAGGCGCUUGAGAGAACUCUGCUGAAGGAACUAGGCAAAAUGGUACCGUAACUUCGGGAGAAGGUACGCUGCUGGUGGUGAAGGACUUGCUCCGUAAGCUACUAGCAGUCGCAGAUACCAGGCUGCUGCAACUGUUUAUUAAAAACACAGCACUCUGCAAACACGAAAGUGGACGUAUAGGGUGUGAUGCCUGCCCGGUGCUGGAAGGUUAAUUGAUGGGGUAAGCCGUAAGGCGAAGCUCUUGAUCGAAGCCCCAGUAAACGGCGGCCGUAACUAUAACGGUCCUAAGGUAGCGAAAUUCCUUGUCGGGUAAGUUCCGACCUGCACGAAUGGCAUAAUGAUGGCAGCGCUGUCUCCAGCAGAGACUCAGUGAAAUCGAAAUCGCAGUGAAGAUGCUGUGUACCCGCGGCUAGACGGAAAGACCCCGUGAACCUUUACUACAGCUUUACAUUGAACUUUGACUCAACUUGUGCAGGAUAGGUGGGAGGCUUUGAAGCAGAUACGCCAGUAUUUGUGGAGCCAUCCUUGAAAUACCACCCUGGUUGUGUUGGGGUUCUAACUCAGAUAUAACAGUAUCGAGGACAAUGUAUGGUGGGUAGUUUGACUGGGGCGGUCUCCUCCUAAAGAGUAACGGAGGAGUACGAAGGUGCGCUCAGAACGGUCGGAAAUCGUUCAAAGAGUAUAAAGGCAAAAGCGCGCUUAACUGCGAGACCCACAAGUCGAGCAGGUACGAAAGUAGGUCUUAGUGAUCCGGUGGUUCUGUAUGGAAGGGCCAUCGCUCAACGGAUAAAAGGUACUCUGGGGAUAACAGGCUGAUACCGCCCAAGAGUUCAUAUCGACGGCGGUGUUUGGCACCUCGAUGUCGGCUCAUCUCAUCCUAGGGCUGAAGCAGGUCCUAAGGGUAUGGCUGUUCGCCAUUUAAAGAGGUACGCGAGCUGGGUUUAGAACGUCGUGAGACAGUUCGGUCCCUAUCUACCGUGGGCGUUGGAAAUUUGAGAGGAUCUGCUCCUAGUACGAGAGGACCAGAGUGGACGAACCGCUGGUGUUCGGGUUGUCAUGCCAAUGGCAUUGCCCGGUAGCUACGUUCGGAUUGGAUAACCGCUGAAAGCAUCUAAGCGGGAA